rnacentral:tRNA from 1 species
GCCUCCGUAGCUCAGAGGAAGAGCAACCGCCUCUUAAGCGGUGGGUCGGGAUUUCGACAUUCCCCGGGGGCAC